AGGGAUGAGUAGAUAUUGGUCGAGCAGGGCGGGAAGGAUUUUGGGGAUUUUAGCAAGCCAAAGUUAACAACAGUGGAAACUAGAAAUAUGACUUUAGACCCCUGAAAUGGAAGAAAAUUCUGGCAUGAAGAGAGACAGUUUUUUUCUGGUACACACAGAGGGGUAUGAAGUAAGGAAUGAGUUCUCAGAAGUGGCAACUACAGUAUCCCGUACAAAUCAGUUUGAGAAUCACCAUGUGUUUGAAUAAAGUAAAUAGAGCUGCAAUCAAAAUACCAAAGUCUGUACUCUGGUAAACGAGCUGGAGAAUACAGUCCAGAAAUAAAGAGAGCCAUGGUAUGAGGAUGUUAGACCUUGCAGAUCAUCUCAUCUUGCAGACAAGGAAAUUAAGGACAAGAAAAAUGAAAUGAUUCACUCAAGUCACAGGGAUACCAAACAUUUCAACAAGGAAAAAAGUCUUUUCACCAAAUGGUACUGAGACAACUAGAUAUCUACAAGCAAAAGAAUGAAGAGGGACCCUUACUUUACACCAUACACAAGAAUCAACUCAAAAUGAAUUGAAGACCUUAAUAUAAGGGUUCAAACUAUUAAACCCCUAGAAGAAAACAUAGGUGUAGAUCUUAAUGAAUGUACAUUAAGCGAUGGCUUCUUAGUUAUAUCACCAAAAUAAAAAUCAACCAAAGGAAAAAAAUGUUAAGUGGAACUUUAUAAACAUUUUAAAAAAGAGUAUUUCAAAUGACACUCAAUAAAGUGGGUUUAAUGCAUGUAACAGGAGAAAACAUUUGCAAAUCAUAUAUCUGAGAAGAGUGUGGAAUACAGAAUAUUUAAAGACACCAUUGCAUCUCAGCAAUAAAAACACGGAUAAGCUGAUCAAAACAGGAGCAAAAGACUUAAAUAGAGAUGUUUUUCAAAAAUGAUGUAAAAAUGAUCAAUAAAGUGGUGCCUGGGUGGCUCAGUCAGUUAAGCAUCUGUCUUAGGCUGAGGUCCUUAUCUCAGGGUUCUAGGAUGGAGGUCAGACUCUCUGCUCAGACUCACAGCAGUCUGCUUGUCUCUCUGCCCCUCCUGCUCAUCGUGUUUUCUCUCUUUCAAAUAAAUAAAUAAAAUCUUGCAAAAAAAAAAAAGGUCGAUAAAUACAUAAAGGAUGCAAAACAUCAAUAGUGAUUAGGUAAAUGCAAAUCUAAACCACAAUAAAAUACCAUGUUACACUCUCUAGAAUGGUUAGAAUCAAAAAGACAGACAUCAUGCUUUGGUGAGGAUGUGAAGUUGGAACCCUCAAACAUUGCUGGAGGACAUGUAAACUGUGCAGCUGCUUUUGAAAACAGUUUGGCAAUUGCUUAAAAAGUUAAAUAUAAAGUUAUCAUAUAACCCAGCAAUUUCAUUCCCAAAAGAAUUGAAAAACAUGUUUCUACAAAGACUUUUACAGAAAUGUUCAUAAUAGCAUUAUUCAUAAUAGUUAAUAAAAUGAAAAUGACCUAAAUGUCUAUCAACUUAUGGACAGACAGGAUGUGGUAUAUCCAUUCAAUGGACUAGUCUUCAGCAAUGUCCAUUAAUUGAAGGAUAAAAACUGAGAUGUAUUAUCCAGCAAUGAAAAGGAAUGAGAUACUGACAUAUGCAUUGAAAGUGAAAAGAAUUCCAUAUUGAUACAUAGCCCAACAUGGAUGGACUUUAAAAACAUUGUAAGUGAAGAGUAAGUGAAAGAAGACAGUUACCAAAGAUCAUUGAUUGUAUAAUUCCAUUUAUAUGAAAUGUCCAGAAGAAGCAAAUGCAUAAAAACGGACGUAGAUUAGUGCUUGACAGGGGCUAGAGGGAAGGGGGAAAUGAAGCCUGCUUCUGUGUAGGGAGUUUCUUUUUGGGGUGUCUAAAUAUUACAGAAUUACAUAAGGUAGUGAUUUUUGCACACGCUAUGACUAUACUAAAGAACACUGAAUUAUACACUUUAAAAGGUUUAAUUUUAUGUGACAUGAAUUAUGUCUCAAUAAAGAUAUUAUUAAAAAAUAUUGAUGGCUGUCUGUAAACCUUGCCAGGAAAUACAAUGCAUUCAGAAUAGGUCCUCAAAUUUUUCAUAAACAUUUUUCAU